rnacentral:rRNA from 1 species
CAGCAGCCGCGGGAAUACGGAGGGUGCAAGCGUUAAUCGGAAUUACUGGGCGUAAAGCGCACGCAGGCGGUCUGUCAAGUCAGAUGUGAAAUCCCCGGGCUUAACCUGGGAACUGCAUUUGAAACUGGCAGGUUAGAGUCUUGUAGAGGGGGGUAGAAUUCCAGGUGUAGCGGUGAAAUGCGUAGAGAUCUGGAGGAAUACCGGUGGCGAAGGCGGCCCCCUGGACAAAGACUGACGCUCAGGUGCGAAAGCGUGGGGAGCAAACAGGAUUAGAUACCCCGGUAGUCCCUGUCUCUUAUAC